UUUAAGUGCAACUAUAAGUUUUCGUGCCCAACUUUGAUCAUCCGUCUUAUUUGAACUUUUUUUAUAAUUAGUAUUUUUCUUGUUAUGAGAUGAUAAAACAUGAAUAGUACUUUAUGCGUAACUUAUGCUUUUAAAUUUUUCAAAAAAAAAAUCAAAUAAGACGGACGAUUAAAGUUGGGCACGGAAAAUCAUGGCUACACUUAAA
rfam:Oryza sativa Japonica Group DNA, chromosome 2, cultivar: Nipponbare, complete sequence.